AGGCAAUAACAAAGGUUAAAGAAAUGAAAACUACCCCUUUCUAGAGGUGAAUUAUCUCAGAGCUAUUGCUACAACAUAGGAAAAACUGAAACUUCAUUUUUGUGCUAAAUAUUAACAGCUGCAACACAAUGCCUGUUACUCUGAAAUGUCGAUGACAUGAGUCCAGAGAUAAGCAUGGGAUUUCCAGGUGCCAGAUCCUACUCUCACAGAAAUGCAACUUGAUUCUCUUUAGUGCUAGAAAUGAAAUGAGAUCAAGACUGGUGCAUGAUGCCAAUUUUCAAAAUUUUAUUACCAGAAGAGAAAUGUUCCUUGGAGAAAUGUUGAGUUUUACCACCUGUGUUCUCAGUCCUGAAGAUAGUUUUCUGUAAGGACUUGGGCAAAUCUCUUCACAGCACUCCACCUCAGUUUUCUUCUGUAUAAAAUGGAGAUAAUAAUGCCUAGAAAAACACAGUUGAAAGUACAAAUGGAAAGUCUUGUAGGAGUGAAAGAUGCUAUUUCUGACUGAAAUCUUGAAGCAUAUUUGAGGAUCUUACAGAGUAGCUUUUGGUUUCCUGUUUGUGACACUCCAGAGUCAAAGAGAAGCCAAACUUAAUUUGACGGAAUCUUUCAAUUACUUUUCACUUGGACGAUGUUUUAAUUGUUAGGUGGAUUUGCUUAGGUACAUGCUGAGUGAAAACUAUUAGGCCAUUACUGCUGGUGUCAUUAGAGGGGUAAACCAUUUUUGCUGUAGUCUGUGAGAGUGUCCUUUCUGACAUCCACUGGAUUAGAUGGUUUGGAUUGGACUGUGCAAGAAGAGAAGAAAGAAGGCAACCAAAAUCCAUAAUGAAAUACCACAUAAUUCAAUGGAAAUUUACUUCCAGAUGUUUUCAGCGCUCUCAGGGUUACCCUUGUUACAGAAUACAACAGCAGCUGCUGCUUCCAAUUUGCUCUGGGAGGAAUCACUGAGAAAAUCCUUGGAGCCCUGUAUAAACAAAAUUAGGAUUUUGAUGGCAGUAUAUGGAAAUUCACAUUUGCUCUCCAGAAGUAAUUUCUUGCUCUUGCUAAUGGAACUCUUGUAGACCAUAUCCCUUCCGAAGAGAAAACACCAGCACAGUUGGAAGCUGGAAGGGCUCAUCUCAACAACAGAAACAAGGUGCCAGCAGCAGCAGCAACCUAUUAAUAAAAAUCCAUGGACCAAAAGUCAGAUGCAUUUUGUUUUAGCUUGUUUUCAAAAAUAUAUGUAUAUUUCUUCUCUACAGGCUACUCUUAUAUACAGUAUUGUUUUUUCCUGUAGCAAUUUACUUCCGUGAGAGGAGAGGAAGGGAAUCUCUUGCUGUUAGCUGUACUCUUGCUGUGUGCCAGUCAGAAAAUGGGUGAGAGAAUUGCAUUUAUAUAAAUAAUCAUUGUUAAAAGUCACACAUGCCGCAGAUGAUAACUGAUACGCUGUAGAUAUGCCGUAUUCCAACUCAAGGGAAUUUUAUUAGAUUUCAAGAACAUAGACUGGUUUUGAUUUGAAUCUUAUACCACAGGUAGCUCCACUAAUGUCAGUGAAUUCAUACUUGUAAGAAAAGAGUAAUGCUCAUUAUAUCUGCUCUAGAGGAUGCAGGACAGUGAGCAGACCUAGGGCUCUAUAAUAGGCUUUGAAUGAAAAUUGUUUCCAAUUCCUGAAAACAUUCUCUUUUCUCUUGGGAUUUGUACAUUCAUUUCUGUCCAGUCCAUGGUACUGAGAGUUACUUACAAAAUAGCAAUUACUGCCAGGUUUUUAUAUCUUAAGUAAAUGUGACCUGAACCCAGGAGAGCCAAGUUUCAUAGAAUGGAUGUAAAAGACAGUGAAAACAUGGGUAACAGUUGUCUUGCUUCAUUGCUGUUUUCAAGAAGCAGUGGCAUGGGUUGAAUCUCUUGCUAUGGCUAUUGGAGAAAAAGUUAUUAAAUUCUGCAAAGUCUUUGGAAAAAAAAUUGUCUUAUUUUUCCUUUUUACGGCAUCUAACACAGUUGGGCACAGACUCCAGCUGGCUGCUUGAAUGCAGACAUUACUCCCUGGGGAGAAAUGCUGAGGGGAGAGAUA